GUGGGGAAUUUUGGACAAUGGGCGCAAGCCUGAUCCAGCAAUGCCGCGUGCAGGAAGAAGGCCUUCGGGUUGUAAACUGCUUUUGUACGGAACGAAACGGUCCUGGUUAAUACCCGGGGCUAGUGACGGUACCGUAAGAAUAAGCACCGGCUAACUACGUGCCAGCAGCCGCGGUAAUACGUAGGGUGCAAGCGUUAAUCGGAAUUACUGGGCGUAAAGCGUGCGCAGGCGGUGCUGUAAGACAGGCGUGAAAUCCCCGGGCUUAACCUGGGAAUUGCGCUUGUGACUGCAGUGCUGGAGUGCGGCAGAGGGGGAUGGAAUUCCGCGUGUAGCAGUGAAAUGCGUAGAUAUGCGGAGGAACACCGAUGGCGAAGGCAAUCCCCUGGGCCUGCACUGACGCUCAUGCACGAAAGCGUGGGGAGCAAACAGGAUUAGAUACCCUUGUAGUCC
rnacentral:rRNA from 1 species